GGGUGCGAUCAUACCAGCACUAAUGCACCAGAUCCAUCAGAACUCCGAAGUUAAGCGUGCUCGAGCGAGAUUAGUACUAUGAUGGGUGACCUUCCGAGAAGUCCUUGUGUUGCACCCU
rfam:Brassica rapa chromosome A2, whole genome shotgun sequence.